UUGAUCCUGCCGGAAGCGACCGCUUUGGGAGUUCGAUUANNCCNUGCGAGUCGAGAGCUUUCGGAGCUCGGCAUACUGCUCAGUAACACGUGGAUAACCUGCCCUAUCAUCUGGAAUAACCUCGGGAAACUGAGAACAAGGCCGGAUAGUUCACUAUGCCUGGAACGGUUUGUGGAUGAAGGUAGGAUGGGUCUGCGGCGUAUCAGGUUGUAGGGGGUGUAAAGGACCUCCUAGCCAUCGACGCGUACGGGUGUUGGGAGACAUAGCCCGGAGAUGGAUUCUGAGACACGAAUCCAGACCCUACGGGGCGCAGCAGGCGCGAAAACUUCACACUGCAGGANACUGUGAUGAGGGAACUCCUAGUGCAUGCACAUUGUGUAUGCUUUUAUUGACUUUUAAUCGGUCAAUGAAUAAGGGCUGGGAAAGACCGGUGCCAGCCGCCGCGGUAAUACCGGCAGCUCAAGUGGUCGUCGCUUUUAUUGGGCCUAAAACGUCCGUAGCCUGUUUGGUAAAAUCUGUGGGUAAAUCAACCAGCUCAACUGGUUGAAUUCUGC
rnacentral:rRNA from 1 species